CUUUCUGUUCAGGUCAGGGCUGCUAUAAUCUUCUCUCCUCUGGCUUGUCACAGAUGGCUUCUGUCAGAUUUCUCCUGUUUUUGUCACUAAUUUCUGUGUCUGCAGCUCUACAGCAGAAUGUUCAGGCGACGCUCGGAGCUGACAUCACUCUUCAAUGUCAGAUUUCCACAGAUGAAAGAAUCUCAGUGCUGAAGUGGAGCAGACCUGACCUGAACACAGACGGCUACGUCUACUUCUACAGGAACAAACGCUCCUAUGAAAACUACCAACAUCCAUCUUUUCAUGGAAGAGUGAAGCUGAGGGACCCGGAGAUGAAGGAUGGAGACGUUUCUGUGAUCCUGAAGAACGUCACAUUUAAUGACACUGGGAUUUAUGAGUGUCAUAUAGCUGUGAGGAACCCUGUGAGAAGUAAAAGAGCUCACACUGAGAUCAGUCACUUCAUCAACCUCACAGUCACAGGUGAAGUGCAUGAAAACAUGUUUAAGAACCACAUCAUGGAAAGAGAAGAUGCUGAUGGAAACACUGAGGUUGAACAGGUUGAAGCACAGACUAUCCUCAUUGUUGCUGGUGUUGUCAUUGCUGUUGCUGCAGCUGUUGGUUUGUUAGUGUUGCUUCUUAAGAGAAAUAAGAAGCAGCAUCUACCCUACUGAGGAAGAAUUAGUAGGAAGUCCUGCUGAUUACAAAUAAAACAGCCAUAAAGAUUUAAAUAUAUUUAAUUGGAAGUGAAAAUGAUAAGAUCGCAAACUGUUUAUUAGAUGAGAAUUUGUAACCAUUAAAACGAUUAAACACUGUCCUCACAUAUCUAUCAUAAAAAUAUCCUCAUAACUACAUUUAUAAUUAUUAAUACCAGUUAAAUAUAUACACCUAGAGAACAAAUCUUGCUUAUUGAAGCUAGUCUGUGCAUUCAAAGCAGUGGUAGGAAACUUUGUGUGCACACAUUUGCAUGUAUGGAAAUGACACAUAGAUAUUUGUGCUCUCAGGUGCACUGCAAGCAUUUCAUCUACUGCAUAUACAUGGAUACAUUAGAAUUACUAACAUAAUGAAAUGUAUGUGUUUAGACAUUGAAGCAUCCGGAGUAACAAGAAAAUCCAUACAAAAAGGCCACAGCCAAGAUUUGAACCAGGAACUUUCUUGUUGUGAGGCGACAGUGCUAAUCGUUAGUGUUAGUGGAUGCUGAUGGAGACUUGAGGGUGUGAUGUGUUGUUAAAACUGUUGUAAAAUGUCAGAAAAGGUCAAAUUUGACCCAAACAGAAAGUAAAGGGUUGAGGAAAGAUUAAACACUGACACUUCAGUAACUACAUUUAUCAAGUACACCACACUGAAGACCAUCUCUGCUGUCCAUUAAUGUCAAACCAAGUAAAGUUUUAGACAUUGCAGGUGAUAAUUUUGAGACUACUGCACUUCCUGUGUCACACCAUCUCAUGAUGUCAGACGUUUUAUCCUCACAGUCUUUUAUUUGAGCAGUGUUCAAAAACAAAAGGAGAAAAACUGAAAAGAUGUUUGCUGAUGUUUUAGCAACAUUUACCUCAAAACUGUAGGAAAAAAAAAAAAAGUCUGCUGAGGCUGGUAAAAGUUCUACACCUCUGCAAAGGUGGUGGUAUGGUGAAUACAUCAGUAGGUUACCGAGGCCUCCAUGGCCUCAACUCAGCUACAAAUAGCCCCUUUUCACUAAUACCUACUCGACUCUGCUCUGCUUGGUUUUGGUCAUUUGUUUUUAUAAUCGAGUGCCACCUGACAUGCAUGCAGGCGUUAAAGUGAUGCAGCUGAACGUAAGGAUGUCAAGGUGAUGGUAUACUUGCUGAUUGUUCUGUGGCUGCCAUUUCCCUCAUUGCUGGCUUUUAAUGGUGGCUAGUCAGAAAGACUGACUAGCCACCGUUAAUGUCACAUUUUUUAGAUCGCCACACUUAGUUCACUCAAAGUACCAGGUACUACAAGGUAAUGGCAAACCCUAAAAACUGAGUCAAGCUGGGCUGACUUGACCUGAGUAGGUACUAAUAGAAAAGGACUAAAAGUGUUGAGUGGAGGGGGAAAAAAAACA